GCAAGGUAUGGAUUCUGACAGCACAGCUGGAUUUCACAGCAUUGGCCUUUCAAAUGAGGAUGGAUAUGCAAGUCUUCCAGGGUUCCCUCUCCUUUUCAGUUCAUUCAAAUGUGGUACAAGGAUUCAAAGCGUUUCUUCAGGUCCAAAAUCCUUUUGAGGCAAAUGGAAAUGGCUUUGUCAAGCAGUUCUGGGCAGAAGUAUUUCUCUGUUUAUUUCCAAACUCCAAUACAGAGGAGCAGGCCAGUGGAACCUGCACUGGAGAGGAGAAGCUGGAAGAUCUCCCUUCAUCUGGUUUUGAGAUGAGCAUGACUGGCCACAGCUACAGUGUCUAUAAUGCUGUCUAUGCAACAGCACAUGUUCUACAUGCCAUGUUGUUGCCCA